UACGAAGGGGCUAGCGUUGUCCGGAAUUAUUGGCGUAAAGAGCUCGUAGGCGGUCUGUUGCGUCCGCUGUGAAACUCGGGCUUAACCCGAGCCUGCAGUGGAUACGGGCAGACUAGAGGUAGGUAGGGAGAAUGGAAUUCCCGGUGUAGCGGUGAAAUGCGCAGAUAUCGGAGGAACACCGGUGGCGAAGGCGGUCUCUGGCCUUACCUGACGCUGA
rnacentral:rRNA from 1 species